AGCUGGCGGCGUGCCUAAUACAUGCAAGUCGAGCGAACCNAUUAAGAGCUUGCUCUUAAGAAGUUAGCGGCGGACGGGUGAGUAACACGUGGGUAACCUGCCUAUAAGACUGGGAUAACUCCGGGAAACCGGGGCUAAUACCGGAUAACAUUUUGCACCGCAUGGUGCGAAAUUGAAAGGCGGCUUCGGCUGUCACUUAUAGAUGGACCUGCGGCGCAUUAGCUAGUUGGUGAGGUAACGGCUCACCAAGGCGACGAUGCGUAGCCGACCUGAGAGGGUGAUCGGCCACACUGGGACUGAGACACGGCCCAGACUCCUACGGGAGGCAGCAGUAGGGAAUCUUCCGCAAUGGACGAAAGUCUGACGGAGCAACGCCGCGUGAACGAUGAAGGCUUUCGGGUCGUAAAGUUCUGUUGUUAGGGAAGAACAAGUGCUAGUUGAAUAAGCUGGCACCUUGACGGUACCUAACCAGAAAGCCACGGCUAACUACGUGCCAGCAGCCGCGGUAAUACGUAGGUGGCAAGCGUUAUCCGGAAUUAUUGGGCGUAAAGCGCGCGCAGGUGGUUUCUUAAGUCUGAUGUGAAAGCCCACGGCUCAACCGUGGAGGGUCAUUGGAAACUGGGAGACUUGAGUGCAGAAGAGGAAAGUGGAAUUCCAUGUGUAGCGGUGAAAUGCGUAGAGAUAUGGAGGAACACCAGUGGCGAAGGCGACUUUCUGGUCUGCAACUGACACUGAGGCGCGAAAGCGUGGGGAGCAACAGGAUUAGAUACCCUGGUAGUCCACGCCGUAAACGAUGAGUGCUAAGUGUUAAAGGGNUUCCGCCCUUUAGUGCUGANGUUAACGCAUUAAGCACUCCGCCUGGGGAGUACGGCU
rnacentral:rRNA from 1 species